GACAGAGGGUGCAAACGUUGUUCGGAAUUACUGGGCGUAAAGCGCGUGUAGGCUGCUUCGCAAGUCGGAUGUGAAAGCCCUGGGCUCAACCUAGGAAGUGCAUUCGAAACUGCGAAGCUUGAGUUCUGGAGAGGGUCGCGGAAUUCUCGGUGUAGAGGUGAAAUUCGUAGAUAUCGAGAGGAACACCGGUGGCGAAGGCGGCAUCCUGGACCGGUAUUGACGCUGAGGCGCGAAAGCUAGGGGAGCAAACGGG
rnacentral:rRNA from 1 species